rnacentral:miRNA from 1 species
UCUACUUUCACCAAUUGGCCU